rnacentral:rRNA from 1 species
AGUGAACGCUGGCGGUAGGCCUAACACAUGCAAGUCGAACGGCAGCACAGUAAGAGCUUGCUCUUACGGGUGGCGAGUGGCGGACGGGUGAGGAAUACAUCGGAAUCUACUUUUUCGUGGGGGAUAACGUAGGGAAACUUACGCUAAUACAGCAUACGACCUACGGGUGAGAGCAGGGGAUCUUCGGACCUUGCGCGAUUGAAUGAGCCGACGUCGGAUUAGCUAGUUGGCGGGGUAAAGGCACACCAAGGCGACGAUCCGUAGCUGAUCUGAGAGGAUGAUCGGCCACACUGGAACUGAGACACGGUCCAGACUCCUACGGGAGGCAGCAGUAGGGAAUAUUGGACAAUGGGCGAAAGCCUGACCCAGCCAUACCGCGUGAGUGAAGAAGGUCUUCGGGUCGUAAAACCCUUUUGUUGGGAAAGAAAAGCAGCAUGUGAAUAUCCGGCUGUUCUGACGGUACCUAAAGAAUAAGCACCGGCUAACUUCGUG